UGUGGCACGGUGGUAGAGCGCUUGCUUAACACGCAUGAGCCUCUGGGUUUGAUUCCCAGCA
rnacentral:tRNA from 1 species